AAAAGUAGGCGCAGGCGGUUGCGGAUUGGCGAAAGCUGGUCUGAGGAAAGUCCGGGCUCCCGAAAAACCAAACUUGCUGGGUAACGCCCAGUGCGAGCGAUCGUGAGGAUAGUGCCACAGAAAGAUACCGCCCCCCAUUUUGAGAUUGGAGAUUGGAGAUUGGAGAUUGCAUCAAAAGUCGAUCGUCAAAAAUCGCAAAGUAUUAGGGGGUAAGGGUGCAAAGGUGCGGUAAGAGCGCACCAGCAGCAUCGAGAGGUGCUGGCUCGGUAAACCCCGGUUGGGAGCAAGGUCGGAGGAACUACGGUUGGUUUUUUACCGGUUCCGUUCUUUGGUACCGCUUGAGGCGUCUGGUAACAGGCGUCCCAGAUAGAUAACUGCCCUCGAAAACUGCUUGCAGUUGAGAGAACAGAACCCGGCUUAUGUCCGACUUUUUCCC
rnacentral:RNase_P_RNA from 7 species